CGGAUACUCCCUCCAUCCGGAAAUACUUGUCAUUGAAAUGGAUGUAUCUAGAUGUAUUUUACUUCUAGAUACAUCCUUUUUCGUCCAAUUUGAUGGCAAGUAAUUCCAGACGGAGGGAGUAGUAU
rfam:Triticum aestivum genome assembly, contig: Triticum_aestivum_CS42_TGACv1_scaffold_049529_1BS